rnacentral:lncRNA from 10 species
GAGAAACACACACGGGCGGGCGGAGGGGACCCGGGGCGAGUCAUCAAGGGCGCGUGGUUCGGCGUGCCAGGCGCGCUGCUCUGCCUGCUCUCUUGGCUUCUGUCUCCCUUCGACCGAUCGCCCCCUAUCCUGAAGCUUUCCAAUGUCAUCUUGGAGCCCCAAAGUUUCCUGGGGCCUCCGCGUUGUGCGUCCCAGAACCCCUUGCCUGCCCCUGAGGGAAACGCGGAGCCAUAGGCAGCGGGACGUCGGGAGCCAGCCCAGGGGAGGCCAGAUUCAGCAUUUGGACAGCGGCUCUGGGGCGCAGUCGGCCCAGCGAGUUUGCCGGUGAACAGCCUCGGGCACAUGGCGGGUAGGAGGGCCGCAGGGCUGCUCUGGGUCUUGAAGAAGCAGGACCCAGCCUAGAGGGCAUCCCCAGCUCCGAAUGGGACACGUUUUCCCGAGAUAAAAGAUCCCUUCUGAGCUCACACGGGAGCCCCGGGACCAUCCAAUCCAGCGUGGAUAUCCCCAGCCUAACCAACACCUGUGCUGGGGGGAAAGAUAAGACGCCCCCUUUCAGCCAGGAGGUGGACGACCCUCAUGCCCUCAGCUCUCCAUUCUUCCCAAAGCAGCUCGGAUCCCUAAGUCUGGAGCUGCCAGCGAGGCUUCCAACCCGCUGCUUGCCAUCACCUCCCAGUUACUCCCCUGCUGGUGCCUCCCUCCUUGGCGCGCUUCCCACCUGCGAUCGGCGCCCUCUUCGCAGUCACGAACUCGCCAGCAGCUAGCAGCACUGACUAGUAGGAGGGCCCGCCGGAGGAGAGGACAUGCUCUGGAGUCAGAAGACAGCGAAAAGAGAAGCAGAAGCCCCGGUGGCAAGAGUCUGAAGCAGGAAGGAUGACUGUAGCCUGUGGAUUGUACUGCAGUAGGAAACUGUCCUAGCAAGGCUCCACUUUGCCCCAGCUUCAAGCUGGAAAGGAGGAGAACAUGAAACAUUGCUUGAAGACAAUGGCCGAGACAGCAGGUCCCACCCUGCACAGCCACCAGCAUCUCUCCCCUCAGCCCUGUCUCCUCUUCUGCAGUUGGGAUCUGCACAUUUAAGCCUGAAAUUGUCCUGUGAAGUGAAGUAUGAUCGGACAGCCUCUUUUCAGCUUUUAUGACAAUGGAGACAGAGGAAUUGUGGCUCUUGCCAAGGUCACAGGAUUGGAAUACAGAGCCAAGCCACCCCAGGACAUGCAAGAGCCUCAGAAGGGAAAAAAGCCCAGCAGGAAGGGAGAACAAGUAGCCUCUGUCCUGAAGUUGUAACAGCCAGGGGCCAGGAUGGAGGAGGAGGACCCCAUAAUCUGCCCAUCUGGGACUUGGCAGGGGACCUGGGAAAAUGUACCCCAACCCAUCCCUUAAGGGCCUUUGUCUUUGGCCCAUUGGCCUAGCAUCUACUUCUUCACCGUGUCUGUUCUUGUCACACCUAGUCAGGUCUGUUUGGGUCUGAGGUGCAUGGAACAUUCUGGGUAGGCCUCCAGCAAACGGAAGCUCUUCACCGUGUUUCCAGCCUGGGACCAAGGGCAGCAUACUGGCAAAGUUGCCAAAGCAAGGGACUCCAGCCUCUUAGGAGUUAAUGACUCCCUCUCCCCAGCUGUCCUCCCCUUGGUGCUCCUCUUCCUCCCUCCUCCUGCUCACAGCAGGCAGGGCCUAGACCCGGGAGCCAUGCUGCUGUGCUGUUGCCAGGGGAGCACGGAGGCAGAUCUGAGCUAUGCAGGGAAAAGGCCCAGCCUGUCAAAGUGUCUGAGAUGAACCGCCGCCGUCCCUGUGCAGCUGGGCUCAGACGUGUCUCAGCUCUUGUUCUGUGCCUGAGAAUGGCGAAACCCAGUGAGGUUCAAGGGCAAACUCGCUAUUCAUUAGUCAGGGGUUCUUGACGUCCCGUCUCUCCCAGGGAUGAGUUCCCCCCUCCUCUUUCUCCCCCUCCUAUGACACAUUCCUGGGUGCCUUUGGUGAGGACUGCACACCCUCCUCCUGCCUAGCCCCCUCUCCAAAGGCCCCUGAAUAAACUCCCCCCAAGGAGACCAGGCAGGGCAGAGACAAUGGCUGCAGGAAAUCAUUCAGGCGGGACAUGCUGGCCUGCCCUCCACCCAGUCCCCCUGUGGGCCCCACUCCCUUCUGAUUCAGGGCACCCUUGGGCCCCCAGCCUAUACAGGCCUGGACAGGAAGAAACCACUGGGAACCACCCUAAGGACAACAUGCUAGUCCAGUGCCAUUCUUCGCUGGCUCUGUGGGUGCCUUUGUGGCCUGUACCGACUGGCUGGCUAAUUUUGUGGUUUCUGUACCAUCACAUGCCUAUUUUAAGACACUCUCCAGCACUGUCGGUUAGGGAGUGUAAAUUUUGCAAUAUUUUCUGAAAUGUGGCAAUAUCAAAAUGUAAAAGGCACACAUACUUGGUCACAAACAAAUGGCACUAUUUACUCUGUGGGCAUAUUUGUAAAAGUUGCCAAAGAAUUAUAUACAAGGAUGUUCAUCAGAGCAUUUCUUUUGAAGAGUAAAGAAAUGGACAUGAACCUGUGGUCCGUUCAUACGGUGGAAUACCUAUGCAGCUGUAAAAAUCAGUGUGGUAGAUCUCCGUAUAUGAGUUGAUGUGGAAGGUUGGCCAGUUCACAUGAUAAGGUGAAUAGAAUAAGUUACAGAACAGGCUGUAGAGUAUGAUCUUAUUUGUAGAUGUUUAAAACUGAGUCAUAAGUAUGCUUAUAUACAGAUCGUUUCUGGAAGUAUGUACUGGAAGUCUACCUCUGGGGAGUGGGGAUGGGGGAGUGCACUCUUCUAUACUGUUAUAUUUUCUUUUCAUGCUCCUAAGGUACUUUUAUUGGAAGAUGUAAAGCGGUUCAAUGUAAUAGGCUUAACUUCUGUCAACUAAGUUGGCGUGGGUGCUUUAAGAGGGUGGUAGUGAUGUUGCUGGAGAAAGUAUCCCACAGUCACUGGUGGCUUCAGCCACGGGCCAUUUUGGGGCCUAAUAAUCACAUAUCAUCAUGGUUGCUAGUGUUAAUCGAAAACCUACUAAGUGCCAGGCUUACUGUCUCUGGGUCUUGCUUACGUGGAUGUCAUUUUUCCAGUUGCACCAAAUCGAAAGAGGUUAAUUGGUUUGUUGGAGUUCCUUUGUAGGUGAAGGGCAGAGCCAGGAGCUUGGCUAGGGACAGGGGAGGUGAGUGGGGGAUGGUGGAUAGGUCUUGGCUCCCAGUUUCCUUCUGGGCAGACAUUGCCCCUCUGCCCUGAGGACCUGCUUGUUUGGGGGAAGAGGCCUUUAGAGGCACCAGGGUCAUGCCAGGUGUUGGACAUGGUGAACUGGGAAGUGCUCCCAUCUGGCCACAGCGCAGAAGUAUCACCGUGCUGGGGGAUGGGGAACAGGGCUGUGAAUGGGCCUAUUUGCAUAAGCAGCAUGUGUCUGGAGAGAAAGACAUCACAGAGCAGAAGAGUGCGGGUGCCCAGGAGUGCACUUGCCACCCCUACUUCAUCCCUGAAAGAGUAAAUGGCCUGGAAGGUGUCUCUGAGAGGUAAUGCCGCACACCACCCUCCCUGGGGGCAGGGUCAGGCUACACCUGCCUUAGGUCGGGGGCUGCAGCAGCCUGAGAGCUCUCAGUAGGGCCUCAGUAGCCUGGGAGGGAGCAGGGGCAGGGGGCAGGGAAAGAGGCGUAAUGGGGCUGUCCAGAGGGGCCUGGGAAACCUGGUCCCUGAGGCCUGGGCACAGCUACAAUCACUUCAAAUUGGCUGUGGGGCCAGUGGACUGGGAAGGAAAAAAGCAAUAAGAGUGACCAAGUGCAGAAGGCUGUCAGGUCCCAGGUCACAUGCCUUAGUGCAGUGACUCCUCAUCAUUUUAUGGGGUGUGGGUGUCGUUGGUACACCCAUUUUACAGAUGAGGACACCGAGGCCCAGAAAAGUUAAGUUACAUGUCCUAAGUCACACAGCUUGUAAGUGCCAGAACUGAGAUCAAAACCAAGUCUCUUUGACUUUAAAGUCUGUACUCUGACCCCAAAGAGAUCCUGUUUGGCCACUUAUAGGAGGUCCCUAAAGCUGCAGACUCCCCUUGCCGGCACCCACAUAUAGAGACAUUAACCCUUCCCCUGCAGGGUCACCUCAAAUAGUCUUUUAGCUGGGCUUCUCCUGCAAUUCCACCUAAUGCCAUCCCCUGGGUUUUGCCCAAACCUGAACUGGGCAGUGGGGUGAGAGGAGGGGUUUACAGGGUUACAGAGCCUCAUACAGAUAGGAGCCCAUGGCUGCUGGUCAUCUGCAUUCCUGCAGGAUUGGCUGUUCCUUGGGGUCCUUGGCAGGAAAAUGAGGAUUGCUCCGAGGCCUGCUCCAGUACUUCCCAGAGGCUGGCCUGGUGUGGGGCUCUGGGAAGGCUGAGGCUGGAGAAGCGUAAGUAGGAGGGCAGAGAUGGCACUCAGGUAGCUUGAAUCACCAGGACCCUUCCAAGCCCCACAGGUUCUGAGGGAGUACUAGGGCCAGCUCUGGGAGAGGUCUCUUCCUAUGCUGUGAACCCCCUGCCUUUCUUGCAGCCUACAACGAAUAAAUUUUCUUUGCAAAGGCUUCCGUGUCUCUGGUCAGUUUUUCUAGGAGGACAUGAGUGAGGAAAGUAGCACUCCGCCACCAGCAAAAACAACUGCUUGUGUCUUGCGGUGUGGUGGGGACACUGGUAUGGGUGCA